GGGAAUAUUGGACAAUGGGCGAAAGCCUGAUCCAGCAACGCCGCGUGAGUGAAGAAGGUUUUCGGAUCGUAAAACUCUGUUGGUAGAGAAGAACGUUGGUGAGAGUGGAAAGCUCAUCAAGUGACGGUAACUACCCAGAAAGGGACGGCUAACUACGUACCAG
rnacentral:rRNA from 1 species